UGAAGGAGUGAUAAUUGCAAUUUUGAACAUGAGAUUAUGUAAAUAAUUGCAACUUUAAAAAUUCAAACACCCAUUCAGCAAGAGUAAGGAUAAAGUUUUUUUUUUCUUUUUUAAUUAUAGCAAUGGAAUAGAAAGUAACAUAAAGCUUACAUGCUUAUCUUGUUCAGGUAAAUUAUACAGACAGUACUUCAAUUUAGGGAUAUAUAAGAAUAAAUAAACUAAACUCUAAGUUUUAGAACAUAAAAUCCCAUGAUCUUUAAUUUAAGGAAUAUAAAAUCCCCUUAUGACCAUCAGUAGCUAAUUUCUAAGUUAUUUAUGCUGGCGUAACAUGUACCAAAUUAAAAAUUAUAUUUCCAUGAAUUGAUAGUUUCAGGUAAAUAGGUUCUGGAUUACUAAAGUAUCAAUUUAUACAGUUUGAAUUGUCUAGGUUGAUGGUAGAUAAAGAACAAAAUUAUUAUUCUUUUUUUUCCAAAUAAGUAGCAAAUAACCUAGAAACUAACUAUUGAAUGUUAUAAGAGGGGGUUUUAUGUUAU
rnacentral:misc_RNA from 1 species